CAGAUACUCCCUCCAUCCUAAAAUUCUUGUCUUAGAUUUGUCUAGAUAUGAAUGUAUCNNNUCACGUUUUAGUAUUUAGAUAUAUUCGUUUCUAGAGAAACCUAAGAAAGGAAUUUUGGGACGGAGGGAGUAGUUU
rfam:Hordeum vulgare subsp. vulgare, WGS project CAJW01000000 data, contig: morex_contig_48724